CUCCUAAUUAGCAUUUUGACCUUUAUGAAGAUAAUUUAGUGAAUCUUUCAUUAGUAGUAGAUCAGGCAGGAGCUGUGGAUUAAAAUGCUAACUUUUUCUGAUGGUACAAAGCUUAGUUUGAAAAGUUUUUUUUAAGUUCCUGUAUUUACUUACUUUGCUGUUUGGUUCUCAGGUGCCCAUUGCUGAUAGACUGCAUUGCUGAUGGAAUACAACUUAACAGACAAUGCACAAAAUUUCAGUCUGGUUCUUAGGGAGGCUUUUUCAAAUCAGAUUUCCAAGCUCGGUUGGACAGGCAUUGUUUCUUGCAAUACUUUUUGAAAUAAUUGUUAAGUGUAUUAAGAGUUAAUGAGAUGUAUCAGUACACACCAAAAGCCUCUGAUCGGUGUGUAUAUGUCCCACUGAAGGCUUCAAGAGCAGUAAGUUGUGUCUAUACGUACUAUACACAGAAUAGAGGAGGCCAGCUGAUAUUUUACAGAUGUUUACUCUGUUUUCAUGUUCUGGACAACAGUUAACAUGUGUCCAACCAUUUCUCCUGAUAAGCAGUCUUUGUAAACUAAUGGUUGUGGUGCCAGGUUCUCAGAGGCUUCAAUAUCACUCAGAUUAUUAACAGUUGUGGAGGCUCUUCAGCUGAUACUUGUCUCAUCUCUACUUGUUGGCAAUCAAUGUAAUACUGUUUCCCUAGUCUAGGCUAAAGAGGCUGUGUGAGUGCAUAUCUCAUCACUCCUGAGCUUUAGAGAAGUUCCUGGGAACUAUAGACUAGGGGGCAGGCCUUCUUUAUAGGUAAGAUGUCACAGUCUGUCAUAUGAAUUAAGAAAACAGAACAUGCAGAAACAAGAUCUGUUGGGAGAAGGACAUUAUGACUCCAGUAAAGUGGUUUGCAACUUGUAUGCUUUGCACCUGAAGGAACAGACUAAAAGGAAUUCUGAGGAAAACGGCUGCAUUAUUAUUUCUGAAAAAUGCAUAAGGGAAGAUUUUGAGCGAAUAAAGCUUUUCUGUGGCCUGAACUCUCCUGGGGUCACCUCCUCCAAAGUCAAGAACAGUCCAUCGCCAUGUGCAGGAAGCCAAGCAAAAGUGGCAGGAGGCCUGCAUGGAUCAGCAAGGAUCUCCAAACAAAACUGAGACAUAAAAAGGAAGCAUACAAGAGGUGGAAGCAAGAACGGAGGCCCUGGGAUCCCUGGAGCCCAGAUAUGGAGGACUGUGACUGCAGGAACAAUAAUCUCCCAGCCAAUGACAAGACUAUGCUGUACCAUGUACUGUGGAUGUUCCUGCUAUGCAAACCCAUGUUAAUGGAAUUUGAUAUCUAAAGCCCCUCUAUUCAUUCCAGUAUAUUCCAUAAAUUCUUUCUGGAUUUGAUUUUAUUACCUUUCAACAAACUGAUGGGUUCAGCACUCCCUCUUGUUUUUGCUCUAUAUAUUUCUGCUUUUGAUCCAGCUCUGCUGAAAGUAAUUACAUGUUGCUUUUUGAACCAGUGGUACAAAAGUACCAAAUAACACAUAAAGUAAACCACUCAGAGCCAGCAGCUAACUAUACUCAUUUAUAAUUGUUUUACUAUAUCAAUUGUUUUUACUACCAUACUUCAAAGAAAUGCAUUGAAUAUUUCCAUUUCUGUGUUUCUUGCUCCAGAAAAGUACACAUUCCCAAACAUGUAUCUAAGUGAAGGGGAUUAACAAGUUUCUGUUUUUUAAAAAGUUGACAGAAUCAAGAUUUGUGCCCUAUACUUCAGUUACAGCAGUACUGGGAAUAGGACAGCAGAAGGAUCUGUUGUCUGUAGGCAGUUACAUGUACAUGCAGACAACUUCCCUGAUACUGAAGAACACUGGUAGAUUUUUAUAUACUAAAAAACAUACCACAUUUUGUCUAGAAGAUUUUUUUAAUGAAUAUUUUUCAGUCUGAAUUCCUCUUACGAAGUCUAGGUUGUAUAAGGAGUUCAGAUGAGCAAAACGAGUGACCUACUUUUGUAUUCACAUUGAUUAUGAAGUUUUUCAUAUUUGACAUGAUAGGUAUACAUGAAUGUCUGGGCUACAUGUGUAUACAUUAUGUAUUUAAUACUCUGUUCUACUCAAGUUUUCAGACAAGAAAACUCAUACAUUUUCUCAAUUGAAAAUAUAUACCAUCUUUGCAUUCAGACACACUAUUGCUGUAUGAGUAUUUUCUCAAUAGGUUAAUAUUAUAACAUUAUGUUAUUUAAUUUAGUGGUUAUUCCAGUCCUUUUGCUUUGAACCAUGAUAGUCACUACUGCAGAUAGACCAGUGGAUACAGCAGGGGACUGCUGUAGUCUUUCAGAAACUAUUAGCUUAGAUAUCCUAUUUUGAUACAGCACUCAAAGAAAAAGAAAAAUCCAGAAAUGAGAUAAUUUUAAAAAAUAACUGAUGAAACAAGGAAAGAAAAUAGAAUGGCAUGAACAUAUCCUUCAACUAAAAAUAGAACCAAGAGACAAGGAUGAAACAUAAGCAGUCCAAAUUUGCUACAGUUUUUGGUUUUGUAAAUGUGCAUGAUCUAUUCCCCCCUGCCCCAGUUUACUGUUCUAUGUGAAAGCUGGGUCCCAUAGAGUAAAAUAUGUUGCUUGCUCUAUCACAUUUAUAAAUAAUGAAAAAUAACAUGACAAGGAUUAUUAAGCAGUGUAAAGCAAAUAAAACAAUGGAAGCAGAAAUAACUAGGUAUCA
rnacentral:lncRNA from 1 species